UUUGUAGUGUAUAGUAAAAUGUCUUUAACCCCUAUUUCCCUCUAGGCUUUCCUUUUGACAGUCUGUUAAUAUUAAGGGAAGCCAUAAGUACUAAGCAGCAAAUAUUCCAGCAUAUGUCAUCCAGUGUUUCCUGUUCUGGAUGAAUGCUGCUUGCUGGCACACUUCUGUUCAAGAAUCAUCUGUUCCUGGCAGAUAAAAAAUUGCUUCGUGUCUGAGGUCAACAAGACAAGUUGAUGUUUUGAUAUAAUGUGUUAUGGUUACUAGGGAGUGUGUUGGGUUGGGGGAAAUUGUUCUGUGCCUUGUCAUGGAAAGGGGUGCUGCAGAGAAGCCCAGGAAGGCAGUGACACUGAAGUGGUUCUGCGGUUCUCAGCAGCUGUGACCUGCUGCUGCUGCUUGCCGCCUGUUCUGGGAGAGAGCUUGGUAUUGGUGCAAGCUGGGAUUUCCCUCCUAGCUAGUGGAUCCUGGCUUACCAGGUGAUGUUGUAUUUACCUGUACAAAUCCAAGAGCUCCCUUUCAGAUUCUGGGGGCUUUCAGGCAGGGUAAUUGAAGCUAAUACUGUCAUGAUACCCAGCUGAAAUCACAAUGGCAUUUGUACAGGCAAAUGGAAUGGCAAUAAAAACUUCUCAUGCUGUCUUGAUUUUACACAGACUGGAAAGUGUAUUAAGUCUUGGAAAUGUAUUAUUUCCUUUUCUGCAUCUUUGAUUGUUACAGGUUCUUUUAUAAAGUGCUUCAGCAUCUGUUUAAACUUCCCAAUAUAUUUCUGAGCCUGUGCAUUCUUAGGAAGACAAUUUCUAUUUUAGUGUUGGUUAUACUUCAGUUGCUCUGAAAGUAGUCAAAUGGAACCUGCCUUAUCAGUGGCAGAGGCAUGUUCACAAACUGCUUCAAGUACUUAGGCUUUCUACCUGCUGCCUGUACACUCCCAGAAAGUAAUUCUUGACUUUGUAAUACAGAGUUAACUAAUUUGGAAGUAACAUACAGAGACUUCAAUAAAAUCAGAAGCUACUUAAUUGAAAAUCUCACGAUAACUGCAUGUACUUGUAAAAAAACAUAGAGACAACCUUAGCUAAGGUUGAGCCUAGGUCUGAAACUGCUGUACAAUCACGUUGCCUUAGUGUAAUGUGCCAGCUUGUUGCUGAGGUGAUGAACUUCCUUUCUUAAGCCUAAAAGUGGGAAAGGUGUGCUUGGCUUAGCAGAGCUCCCUCAGGCAUCUGUGCAGCAACAGGUAAUGGGGAACAGCACUGCCCCUCAGGUGCAAGAGCGUUUUGCAAAUGUAACAAAAUUAAUUUUUAACAAAAACUUUGUAGUUUGCCUUGGUACUAGGCCUGUGUAUAGAAUAAAGCUCUACUUUUCUUUAAUAUGAGAGGAUUUCGCAUUGCUGCAGAUUUGUGUGCUCUGGGUGGGUCUUUUUGCACCACAUACAGAAACAGAUAAUCACUGUUAGAAUUGUUUAGUUUGAUUUACAACACUCUUGUUAAGAUUAAUUUGCUUAAAUUCAGUUAUUUAUAGCCAAAUCUGUUCAGAAAUAACUUUUACCAAAAUAAACACUGUCUUAAGGGAGUACUAGGUCAAUUGUAUCUCUGUCCAAGAGGCACUUUUAAGAGUUAAGAACUUUAUUUCAUGGCCAUCUGGCUUCUGUUGAAAAUAGCAGCUUUAAAUGGAGAUGGGGAUGUAAAGAUGCAAAACUAACAAAGCAUUGGUCCCUUAGCUAUAGUUGUACAGAAGUUUACUUGACAACAUAAAUGAUAUUUCCAGGUAGAGAAGGGAGUUCCCCCAAAACCCAGAUUGAUGGAGGUAACUAUGCUAUUACAAAACACCAAAAUUAAACAUGGCAUCGUAAUUUUUAUAUCUUUUCAAUACUUAAGGUUCCUAAUGUUUUCAAGCAUGAUUUGUGUGAUGUUCUGAUGUGCUGUCUUUAUUUCUUUGUUUAAGACAUUAACGUGGUUUUCGUGUAUUGUCCACACUGAGGUGGAAUAUUCAUAAAUCAGUCUGUGGUCUCUGACAAGUGUGUGUAUCUUAAAAUUGUGUGGAGCAUGUAAAAUCUUGAGUAUCACUGAAAUUCACAUAUCUGACGGAUGAUUCUUUUUCUGCUGUGGGUGCUACAGGUUGACAUCUCUCUCUAUUAGCUUUUCCUGAACUAAAGUAAUCCAAGUAUCUCCACAGAAGAAAAAAUGGCCUUCACGUAGAAGAUAAUACCGCAAGAUUGGAAACAGAAUAAAAUGGUGUAACUGGCAAAGACUGCGAGAGCAAUGGUGCUAGUGUGCUGACAUCUUGAAACUUGUGGUUCAACAAGUUAAAAUAGCAUGGAAAUUUAAAAUUUCAGUAUAGUCCAUAAUGGAUUAAAAUUUGUUAAAGUAAUUCAAUUUUGUAUCAGAAUAAAGUGUAUAUUGUCAAAUGACUUAAAAUCUAAAA